rnacentral:rRNA from 1 species
GUCUACGGCCAUGCAACCCUGAACGUACCUGAUCUUGUCAGAUCUUGGAAACUAAGCAGGGUCGGGCCUGGUUAGUACUUAAAUGGGAGACCACCUAGGAACAACAGGUGCAGUAGGCG